CAAUAGCCCAUUUGGCUUUGCCUCAUGGGCUAUUGACCCGUAGCCCGUGGUCUAAUUGUUAAUUUAUCACCACAGUAAAUUAUUUUCACUGUCAACACAGCCAUUUUAACCGCCCAAACUGCCGCUGAGAGUUAAAUACAUUUGUCAGGAUUAAGCCUAGGCAGAGGAUUACAUCAAAACAGACAGAGGUAAACAAAGAAGGUGCUCAUCACCAAAGGGAAGGUGGUAGAGUAUAAACUUUGUGAAACAGUGGUAGAGUAUAAACUUUGUGGAACAUAUUCAUCUUAUCCUUCACAGAUCGACUUGUUCCUCUAUUUCAUGUCUACCUCGAGUGGAGGUUUCAAGCGUUGCUGAAAUUUUCUCUUUCUGAGCUCAGUUUUCACUGCCUGACUUGUGGGCAAGUCUAAUGUCUGGCAUGAAAUGUAGUAGCUCCUGGUUUUCAGUAGAGCUGUGAUCUCUUUUGAACAAUAAAAACUAACUAUAGUGGACAUGAACUUUUGGAAGAUGAGUCUGUAAGGUUAAAGUUAAUCACAAAGAGUAUUUUUGCUUUCUUUUCAGGGAUGUAGAAAGAGAACUCUUUCCAUGUCUGAGAAGUUUGGGAAUGGCCUUCUAUGCAUACAACCCACUCGCAGGAGGACUGUUAACAGGGAAACAUCACUAUGAAGAUAAUGAGAAGGGCACGAUUCAGCAUGGCCGUUUUGCUGGUAUUGACCAGUGGAGUGCUGCCUACAUAAAGCGUUAUUGGAAGAAGCCCUUGUUUGAUUUGCUCGAGAAACUCCGGGUAACACUAGAUCGUGUUUACGGUGAAGGA